GGCUGAGAGCUCGGGCGGGGCGAGCGAGGGGCGGGCGUGGCAAGGGGCAGGUCGGAGAUGGGUCAGCUUUGGUCUGUGCUCCAGGGGCGCAGUCCUGUGGUUGUCUUAUAGGCGUUUCACCCGAAAACAUCCAUUACAAAUUAAAAAAAAUGCUACCAAGCACAGAGAAAGAAAAACCAAAAAAAGGGGAUAAAGAGCAUCACAAGAAAUAACCCCGCGCGGGACGCGCCUCUCCGGAGCAGCCCCGAUGCAGGUGGGCGGCUGUUGGCCCGGCCCGUAACGCAUGGCGCUGAGAGAAACGUGUCCUCUCCGGGUCGCCUCUUCCCCCGCCUCGGAAAACGGUGUCAGCGAAGCGCCCAGCAGAAGCAGGGCUGGGCAAAGGCCGUUUAAAAGCCACCGGUUCUGGGGAGGAAUCGGAUCUGGGCUCUGGCGAGCUGAUACGGGUGCAGUUAGGGAGCCAACGCUCGCAUGGCUGUUCUUAACCAAACACAUGUGAGAGUUACGUUACAGCACUUAACAUUUUCAGUCGAAGGUUUUGUUUUAUGCUUCCGCAGCUUUCCGUAUGCUAAGAAGCAAAUUUAGAGGCAGCCUUACUGCUGAUUUUAUCUUGAAGGAUUAAACCAGAUUCACUCUUCCUGCAGGA